rnacentral:lncRNA from 1 species
AAACCCCCAACUGUCCAGCAGCUCUGAUGCAACAGAAGCUAUUUCCUCCUUCUGCCACAAGCGUGGUGUGUGACCUGGUCAGCAGGAAGUCAUCUUUCAUGGUGUCUCUGGACCCCAGACGGCUGGAAGCUCAGUCACCUUCCAGUCAGCGAUCCAAGAGACCAGCACCAGCCAAGACAUCCUGAUGGAAUCAUCUGGACACAUUUUGCAACUUCGAUGAAACCGCUGGGGAUGUCUUGAAGGCUUGUCGAGCAAGAGGAGCCGUGAUUUGCGACCGGGAGCCGCACGGAAGCUCCGGGAUGGAUUUCUGAUAACGCCGCGUGAUCGAUGUGCGGCAUCUCCUGACGUGUGUGAACAGCCCUUCAGCGGCCGCUCCUCCGUCUUGUCAGCUCACUUCACAUCCACAUUCCUUUUCAAAGGAUCAGCUGAGACUCAAGUGUCUUUAACAGACUCUCAGCCCGCUCAGUGGCUGUAAUUAUUUGUCUCAACGCUCAAGUUCAAGUUCUACCUGCUACUGCUUGACAACCUCCCCGCCCCCCCCCCCGCCCCCAGAACCUCUCCGCUCUCCAAUCACUAGAUGCUCCCGACUCUGCUUUCUUCCCUGAAUCUAACUUUGGAAUGGUCCUCCCUCAGGGAACCCCCGUUCUUCUAAGAAUAACAGGAGGGGUUGCAUCCUGCUCUUGUGACCUGGUUGAUGUCACUGGCAUGCUUCCCAGUUACAGGCAAGGCAUUUCCAUUGCAGAGAAGGAAUUUUUUUUUUUUUUUUUUUAAUCUUGAGUGGCUGUCGAUGUGUUGGUGACCAUACCGUGUCUUUUAUUAUUCUCACCUAUGAACCUCUUGAUUUUACCCCCGCCCUGUUCCCUUCUCAAAGCUCCCAGUCUUUCCUGGCACACACAUACACCUUUCUAAAUGCCAAGCUGAUAUCGUCAAACCAAACUGAGGGUUGAAUUAUAGUCACGCCCAUAGCUUUCCAAACAUCAACACUCAAAGGCCGACUUGGGCUCCUCGCUCUCCUGUUGGCUCUUUCUGACAUGCUACACAUCUGUUAAUAUUUAUCUGAGCGGGGGGGGGGGCUGCAUUCUUGAUUUACUUUUGCCAUUUUACUCCAUUUAUUAACAGCAGUUUCCGCAUCCAGCACCUUCAGGAAACUGGUAGCAGAGUCAUUCACCCGAGGUUCCCUGCGUG